rnacentral:rRNA from 1 species
CCUACGGGAGGCACAAGUGGGGUAUAUUGGACAAUGGACCACAAGUCUGAUCCAGCAAUUCUGUGUGCACGAUGACGUUUUUCGGAAUGUAAAGUGCUUUCAGUCGGGAAGAAGUCAGUGACGGUACCGACAGAAGAAGCGACGGCUAAAUACGUGCCAGCAGCCGCGGUAAUACGUAUGUCGCAAGCGUUAUCCGGAUUUAUUGGGCGUAAAGCGCGUCCAGGCGGCAAGGAAAGUCCGAUGUGAAAAUGCGGAGCUCAACUCCGUAUGGCGUUGGAAACUGCCUUACUAGAGUACUGGAGAGGUAGGCGGAACUACAAGUGUAGAGGUGAAAUUCGUAGAUAUUUGUAGGAAUGCCGAUGGGGAAGCCAGCCUACUGGACAGAUACUGACGCUAAAGCGCGAAAGCGUGGGUAGCAAACAGGAUUAGAUACCCUCGUAGUC